UACGGAGGAUCCGAGCGUUAUCCGGAUUUAUUGGGUUUAAAGGGAGCGUAGGCGGAUGUUUAAGUCAGUUGUGAAAGUUUAAGGCUCAACCUUGAAAUUGCAGUUGAUACUGCCAGUCUUGAGUACAGUAGAGGUGGGCGGAAUUCGUGGUGUAGCGGUGAAAUGCUUAGAUAUCACGAAGAACUCCGAUUGCGAAGGCAGCUCACAGGACUGUAACUGACGCUGAUGCUCGAAAGUGUGGGUAUCAAAC
rnacentral:rRNA from 1 species